CCCUCCCUUCCUGGAGGUUUGCUGAGGAGCCGCUUUCCAGAAAGUUCACCCUCCUCCUUCUCGGCGGCUUUCGAGAAAAGUCACGGCAGCCGCUGGGCCGAGGAGCCGUCUCGGCCCACGGUAGUCCCGGCGGGAAGCUGGGCAGGGACGUUAGUGUGUGGGGAGCGGGUUGUCUGAACCGCGGCCCCUCGCCGCCCCAGGGAAGUCCGAUAACCCGCCAACCGACUAUUGUGGAUUCCGGUUAAUUGGACCACCGGUUAAAUCGGAUCAGCCGCUUAUUUAGGACAACUUUUUUAAGAACAAAAAGUAAUCGAGUUAAUUGCCGGGAUUCCCUUGGUUUAUUUGGGUUAUGUGUUGUAUCACAUGGGAGAUCAUGGUCUUUCCACGACUGUGAUUGUUGUUGGUAAUGUUUUACAGAGGUGACUUGCCAUUCAUAGGCAGCCUUAGCUAUGUUUCACCCUGGGCCCGACUGACACGCAAAAAUUUUAAUGCACAGCUCCCAGACGCCACAAUAUUCGCCUACUAUUGCCAGCCGAACCACCAGUGGGUGCUCGCUGACUGACAUCUGAGAAAAUACACCAAAAUAUUUACUUCACUUGUAAACAUUGCUCCUAGCAAAGAAGGCUACUUUUCAAUGAGAGGAAAAUGAAACGCUCCUAUCCUAGUGAUGCUGAAAAAUGGAAAAUAUUAGACAACAAAACAAAACGUCUAAAUAGUCUCCCAAAAGUUACAUCUUUCUUUGGUCCAGCAUCUGUAAAAGGCCCGCGGACUGCAGUUGCUGCUGCAUCAUCGUCACAGCAUGGAGCUGCAGUGCCAAGUGACAGUGUGAGCGGUACAGGAGAUGCUGAUAAUCGGAGCAAUGAAAAUGAGAAGAACAAUUCUACUCAAACAGAUGGUGAUAAUGAUGACCAAACUUUGUUUGAUGAACGAGCACCACAGCAUGAUGACAGUCCUACAACUGAGACAGGUGAGGGAGAUGCCGCCACCAGCACACCAGACAGAGAAAAAGCCCCACUAACAUUCACAGAGACCGAUCCGGCACGUUGGCCAACGCAUAUUACCAGUGACCAAUGGAUCGACAUUGUUAGGAGAGGUCCCGUUCAGUUAGAGGACAUUAACUUUCCACAGAGCCAAUCAUGCCGUCGUUUUACCAAGGACAGAUAUGAAGAUGAAAAAUGAAGAAACCAUUCGUAGGCCAUGAUUAGUGUACUCAGAAUCAUCUGAUUCAAUCUUCUGUUUCUGCUGUACCCUAUUUGGCAAGCGAAAUCACAGUCUCGCGGAGGUUUCAGAGUGUGGGAGCGACUCACUCUCACACUCCAGGAUCAUGAGAAGUCAAAUACACACCGUGCCAAUAUGGAUAGCUGGCACGAGCUGGAAACGCACUUAACGCACAGUGCCAUUGACAGCACGUACCAAGAAGUGCAAAUGCUGGGAAAAAAACACGAAUGAUGUCAUGAAGAGGUUCAUUGCCAUGGUCUGUCACCUUGCAGAACGAAACCUUGCUUUCCGUGGCCACAAUUCCACCCUAUAUGAACCAAAUAAUGGGAACUUCUUAGGUCUGGUGGAGCUGCUUGCCGAGUUCGACCCAGUGAUGAGCGAACAUGUCAGACAAGCAGAGAAAAAAGAGAUUGCUGACCACUACAUGGGGAAAACCAUACAAAAUGAGAUAAUCAAACUUAUUGGAUACAAGACACUGGAAGCGAUAACAGAGACAGUAAGACAAUCACGUUACUACUUGGUGAUAAUGGACAGCACCACUGUCGCUGCACACAUAGAGCAGCUCUCUGUGACAUUGCGCUUUGUCACAUGCCAAGUAAAUGUCGGAGCUACAGUUAGUGAGCAUUUUGUCGGUUUCCUACCAGUGCUUGACACAACAGGUUCAGGCCUAACCAAUGUUUUCUUAAUGCAUAUGGAGAGGUUAGGAUUAGAUAUCUCAAAAUGCAGGGGGCAGGCAUAUGCUAACGGAAGCAAUAUGCGGGGGGAAAAUAGCGGGGUGCAGAAGAGGGUGCUAGAUAUUAACUAAAAAGCACUGUUCAUGCCAUAUGCGCCAGCCACAGCCUAAACCUAGUCAUUGUCGAUGCUGCAAAAUCAACAGUGGAGUCUGUGAGCUUCUUUGGGGUGCUGCAACGCCUAUACACACUAUUCAGCUCAUCGACACAGAGAUGGGAGCUUUUCAAGGAGAACGUGCCACUGAUGACCCUCAAGGCCAUAUCCAACACGCGAUGGGAGUGCCGCGUGGAAAGUGUGAAAGUCCUGUGCUACCAGCUUCCCGAUGUUGGCAAUGCACUCCUGUCACUGAUUGAACAUGCCACACAGAAAGGUGACAGUGAAACCACAUCUGCAGCCAGAGGCCUAGAACAGAAGAUCAUGUCAUGGAAAUUCCUGCUGACUGUUAUCAUCUGGUAAAACGUUUUACAUGAGGUGAAUCGUGUCAGCAAGCUGCCCCAGAGCCCAAAAGUGGGAAUCGAUGUGCUACAGCGUGAGGUGGAAUAUGUCCUGAAAUUUCUCAAGGAAUACAGAGAGAACGGCCUUUCGUCUACCCAAACAGAUGCCAAAGAUGUAGCUGAAGAGAUAGGGAUGCCAAUGGUCUUUCCUACUGCACGAAUCAGAAAACCAAAACGCCAGUUCCAGUACACGUCCCAAAGUGCAGAUCCUUCCCUGACAGUGGCACCCGAGGAACGGUACAAGAGAGAAGUUUUCCUUCCACUAGUCGACUCUGCCAUCACAGGCAUUAGUGAGCGCUUCAAGCUGAUUGAGUCAUUUUACAGUCUGGUUGGCUUCAUUUAUGGAAGAGAGGAAAUGAAAAAAGCCACCCAGAGUCGCACACUGAAAGACAGUUGCAUAAACAUGGAGAGGACACUUGGUGAUGUGGAUGCUGAGGACCUUUUGUGCGAGGUGUCGGCUGCUGUCAGUGCUGUGCCUGCAAAAGAAACCACUGGCCUGCAGAUUCUGAGCUACAUUUACAGCAACAAUCUGGUUGAACUGUAUCCUAACCUCACCAUUGCUCUAAGACUCAUGCUGACAGUGCCUGUGACUGUAGCGAGUGGAGAGAGAAGUUUUUCGAGGCUAAAGCUUAUCAAAACACAUCUGAGGACAACCCUGUUCCAGGAGCGUCUGUCAGCUCUUGCUCAGAUAUCAAUUGAGCAUGAAAUAACAAGAUCGCUGAGUUCAUUAAAGCAUUCUCAGCCAGCACUCAAGCACAGGAGGGUGGUGAACUUCUAGUGAAAAAAAUUGAAACAAUGGAAAAUAUCCUGGAUCAAAACUGAAAAUACUGGAAAGCCUCAGCAGAUCAGGCAGCAUCUGUGGAAUGAGAAACAGUCUAUGGUUCAUAUCAAAGAUCCUUCAUCAAAACUG